UUGAAAGGGAAACGAUUGAAGUCAGUCGUACCGGCGGAUAAUCAACCUUUGGCGUGAUUAUGUGGAGCGUGAGGAGUUAAUCACUUUCAUGCCUGCAUAUUCGUGUACUUUGGGUGUACUUAUCUGUAUGGUAGGUUAACAUCAAUUUUGGUCGUUAUAAAAUGACUGGGGGAAUGUGGCUUUGAUUUCGUAUUGAAGUGUUAUAGUCUCUGGUAGAUAUAGUGACCGGGAUUGAGGAUUGCAACGGAUACCCUUUCGGAGCUACUCGUCUGAUCUCUGAUCGUUACUCUGGUGCUGAAAGCUUGCUUACGGUUAUCAAAGUUGAUGGUUAAUAAGUUAGAACGGGUUAAAUUCGUUAAGGAUGUUGACGUA
rnacentral:rRNA from 1 species